UCACUGGAGGACUAGUGGCUAGGCCACGGUGCUCUCACUGUCGCAGCCUGGGUUCGAUUCCCGGCCAGGCAA